rnacentral:rRNA from 1 species
CAAUAGCGUAUAUUAAAGUUGUUGCAGUUAAAAAGCUCGUAGUUGGAUUUGUGGCGUACGGUGUGUUCCGGGCACUUGUUGUCUGAGUAACCUGCUGUUGCCAUCCUUGGGUGGAACCUGUGUGGCAUUAGGUUGUCGUGCAGGGGAUGCCCAUCAUUUACUGUGAAAAAAUUAGAGUGUUCAAAGCAGGCUUAUGCCGUUGAAUAUAUUAGCAUGGAAUAAUGAGAUAGGACUUUUUUGCUAUUUUGUUGGUUUGCGCAAGAAGGUAAUGAAUAAUAGGGACAGUUGGGGGUAUUCGUAUUCCAUUGUCAGAGGUGAAAUUCUUGGAUUUUUGGAAGACGAACUACUGCGAAAGCAUUUACCAAGGAUGUUUUCAUUAA